GAGUUUGAUCAUGGCUCAGAUUGAACGCUGGCGGCAUGCCUUACACAUGCAAGUCGAACGGUAACAGGUCUUCGGAUGCUGACGAGUGGCGAACGGGUGAGUAAUACAUCGGAACGUGCCCGAUCGUGGGGGGAUAACGGAGCGAAAGCUUUGCUAAUACCGCAUACGAUCUACGGAUGAAAGCAGGGGACCGCAAGGCCUUGCGCGGACGGAGCGGCCGAUGGCAGAUUAGGUAGUUGGUGGGAUAAAAGCUUACCAAGCCGACGAUCUGUAGCUGGUCUGAGAGGACGACCAGCCACACUGGGACUGAGACACGGCCCAGACUCCUACGGGAGGCAGCAGUGGGGAAUUUUGGACAAUGGGCGAAAGCCUGAUCCAGCCAUGCCGCGUGCAGGAUGAAGG
rnacentral:rRNA from 1 species